rnacentral:lncRNA from 1 species
CCCACAUCCAACUCUUUGGCAAAUAGAGUUUUUUAUUUACCUCCAUGUGUCUGAGCAAAAGGCUUACACUAUGGUGUUGAUUUUUCCAUUUUAGACAUAAUCUCCUGCCUUCCUGCUAUGGGUGAUGAGGGCGUUAGCACACGUACCUUAUCCACUUUCCCACCACAUCCUCCCCAUGUAAUCAUAUCACAUUGUUUGUUAAGUAAAUAUUCCACGAAUAUAUUAUUUUUACUGAGAAAACAUUGGUCAAGCUGCUCCAGAAAAGUAUUACAUUUCCUUUCAUAUAUGACUUCUUGUUUUCCCUGGACUUAAGAACUGGCCUUUUUUCCAUUCGCACCAUUUCAGGUCACCACCAAUUCUCCCCACAAACUCUCCAGAAGAGACGUAAAAUCCUCCUCCGCGUAUUCCAACAUGUCGGUCCCACCUGUAUUUUGGAGAUGUCCUCCCCGGAGCCGUCUUUCCUCCUGUUCCAGUCGGGGCUGGUGGCUCCCCGUCCUUGCUUCCCAGUGGCGAUCCUAGGGCUCCACUCACGGAACCUCGAAUUCCCUCUGCCUUUCUUCUGUGUCGCAUCCAUUUUUCAGAUCCUGUGCCCUCCUUUCCCUUUGUUAAUUCCCUUUCGUGGGGUAUUUCUACGAUCAUUCAGAGACUGCCCUUGGUUGUCUGACCGGGUACGAACCUCCUUCUGACGUACUGUCAGGUCGGGACUAGCCUGAUGCUACGUCACAGUGUCUGGUCAUUCACCUUCCUUCACCUCACCAGGUAGGCAUGCUGUCAUCUCACAUCAUCACAAGACGAAGAAGGGUGAGUACGGUACAAUAAGAUAUUUUGAGAGAGGGACCGAGAGAGACCGCAUCCACGUAACUUUUAUCACAAUAGAUUGUCGUAAUUGUUCUAUUUUAUUAGUUUUGUUGUUAAUCUCUUACUGUGCCUACUUUAUAAAUUACGCCUUAUCAUAGGGAUGCACGUGUAGGAAGAAAACACAGCACGUACGGGGUUUGGCACUAGUCGCAACUUCGGGCAUCCACUGGGGGUCUUGGAAUGCAUCCCCCGUGGAUGGGGGGACUACCAUAUAGAGUUCUAGACCAGAAGUAUGCUUGCUUCAGCAUUUUGAAAGUCUUGUUGCCUUGUCUUCUAGGUUCCAACGUCGCCGAGAAAGUUGGUGCUCCUCUGACCCCUAGCCCUGUGCAAGUGACCCCUAAUCUGUUCUUCUUGCCCCUUCUCUCCCAGAGCACUUUUUAAGAAUCUGCUCUUAACCCCUGAAAUAUUUAAAUUUCAUGCAAAUGUGCUUUAGGUGGGUCCUUCUCCCCUUCUAAAAAAAUCCAGUGUGCCGGGCCCUUAUUCUGGGCCUGUUUGGUGUGAAAAAUCAUAUUCUUUAGUUUUGGGAUAUUUUAAAAUAUUGUUUCCUCUGAUAACUUUCCCUCCAUUCGUUGUUGUUGUUGUUCUCCAUAGAAUACCUUUCGUUUUCUAUCGGACGCCUUAUGUUACCUAGUGCCCUUCAUCACACUUUCUGAGAGAUGAUCUUGGCUUUUAGCCCCGUCCUCUUUAUUUCAUCUUAUUUGUUGUGUACUGUUUUCCAAUCCCCCUACCGUCUUCUCAACAUUCUCGCCUCAUGGGUGCCAUGACUUGUCUCCCCUCGAGGGUGGGGCAUGACCUCUGUUUACUCCGUUCUUUUUCUUCUCAUCCAUUUUGAUAUCUGCUUUCCAUGUUGAGGGGUUUUCCUGUGAUCUUUGCCUCCCUUUAUGCUAGGACAGUGGCCUCAAAGGCUGGCUGGAAACUCCUCAAGCGGGAAAGGGCUGGCCAGCCGUGGCUUCGCUAAGGACCAUCGGGCAGCAGCCCUGCUGUUCGUUUAGAAGCUUCUCUCAAAUUCGACACUUCUGUCUUUUCUCUGGUCUCUGGCUGGAGAACGGAUGCCGGCAACCAGCACUCUGGGAACCUAGUUGGGAAAGAGGACCGAAGCAGGGGUAAGAUCACAGUUUCACUUCCUCUCAUUUCCGUCCCGCCCUCACCUCCUCCCCAGCCACGCCUGGCGUCUCCAAACCAGGAGCUGCCCUGGGUCUCUUUCUCCAGAGGGAAAACUCCAGGCGCUCUGCCGGGACGGGGAAGGGCAGGGACUUGACUGCCCUUCAGACAGACUUAUGGGUUCUCUUCCUCAGCCUUUCCACUUACCCUGACUUUCAGAGCUACCUGGCCCUUGGACUCCCGAGUUUUUCUAGGUGUCUGCGGCACGAACGGGCAUGUUGCUUGUUGGCAACCCCACGUGCAAGCUUUUAACCGCAGAGAAAGCUGAGCACUAAUUAGGGUUUCCUCCUCUUAGUCCUGUUGGGUUAUGUUCUCUUUAUUGCUUGAACACGAGUCCUGGGACGUGGUCUCCGUGCAUCAUCUCUCAGAUCCCGUCCUCACUAUCCUGUGAGGUCAGUACUAUUAUCAACCCCACUUAAAGAGGGGAAUGCAGCCUUUGAGGGAGUAGGUAUCCACCCGGGCGCAGAGCUGUGGCGUGGACUCAGGCCUUCCAACCCCAGAGCCCUUGCCCUGAGCCACCAUAUCGGGCAGCCAGAAGCGAAGGUGGGGCACAAGGUGUGAGAGCAGAGUGACCCCGUUACCGGGACCCAGCUCCUUCCAAUCACCGCAUGACGGGCCAGGAAGUCGAGAGGCAGGAUGCUGAGACAAGGAAAGCGACUUUGUCCAGAAAGCCGGCAAGCCCGGGAGAUGGCAGACUGUUGUCCCAGCGAUCCGUCUCCCCGAGCGUAAGCCUGUGCCUCUUUUAUGUUAGGGCAGGGGGGGCAGGGGUGGAGUCAAAAGUGACUGACACCUGUAGACAACCCAGGAAGGUGGUGUAAACUCUCUGUCCUUGGUCAGUUGAUCUCUGUGUACAGGAGUCUGGUCAUUUCAUUCCUGUAAAUCACGCCAUGGCGUAGUCAUUUCUGUACGUACUUCCUUCUCUCCUCGGGUGAGGUGGGUUUCCGGGGAAAGGUGAUUUCUGCAAAUCUUAGCCGUAGCGUGCCUACGUGCAGGGCUAAGCAGGAGUUUCUAAGCUACGGGUGACAGCAGCAAGAGAAAUGGGAGCAACAUGGAGUCAGACACGCUAAGUUCUCCCUAUCACAGUCCCCGAAACUCCUCUGAAUGUCUGCCAUGGGCUUAAGUCUUCCACGGAGGCUAGUGGUGAAAAUCCGUUACACAGGAGCUUUCGCCUCCGGGGGAGAGCUGCGGCUGGUGAAGGCAGCGAACUUUGUGUCCAGAAUGGGUACUUCACGAGGUGUCUGGGUUUAAAAACGAUUUGGAAAAGGAAGUGUUCUGAGAUCAGUGUUUUUCAAACGUUCUUAUAAUCAAAUACCAUUAUAAUCAUCUGAGAGGCUUGAAAAAUCCUCGGGGUCCUCCCUCCCCCAAGCAACGAAAUCGGAAUCUCUGGAUGUGGGACUCAGGACUAUAGUGCGUGAAGCUCUCCAGGGAUGCCCGUGGGCAGCCAGUUUAGAACCAGUGCUGUAGACCAGCGCUUUGCAAACUGUCAAGUGCCCCUGAACCACUGGGGAUCUUGUUAGAAAGCAGAUUCUGCAUCACGAGGUCUAUCCGGCUCCCACGUGACGCUGCUGGCCCUGGGACCACGUUGCACGUAUUGGGGACGUUGAUGACACGGAGCAGGUACAACAGUAGGAAAAACUAGCCUGGGAGGCAGCACCUAAAGUUGGCAUUAAAGUAUGAACUUCAACUUCAUGGUUAACUUCUUUUCCACAAUGACUAUAAAAACGUAUGCAUUGCAGAAAGGGAUGUGAAUUCCGUAACAGUUCUAAACCAUGUAAGGAGAAUAUUAAUUAGAAAGGCUUUCAUGCGUCUAGAAAGUAUAGAUGUUACUGACGAUGUCAUAAAGGAGGGGGGCGGUUUCCAUGUCCUGUUAGGUUUAUGACCCAAACAGCCAGUUGAGUAUCCAGGUCUCCCGGAUCUCAGGACACCCCGGGGCCACCACACCUCUCCGGUGGUGGCCUCGCAUCGGCUCAACUCCUCCAGCAGCUUUCCUGCAGAGUCUCCUUCAAGAGCAACACAAAAAUCCCUCCCCUUGAAUGAAAAAGAAUAAUCUUCUCUCUCCCUUGAAAGCACCUACCUGAACGCUCCAAACGCAGAUGUUCCCAAAGACAGUAGUACUGUUUCUUAGGGGAAUUUCAAUAUGUUAAAUAUUCCUACUUUCUUAGACCAUGACGAGACAGACAUCUAGGUUUACAAAAUAAUUAUGUUUCUGUGCAUUUGUAUAGGAUGAUUAAAGAAUUCCAAAUGUACCCCAAGGGGUCCAAGCAUUCAGGGAAUUCCUGCAGUGCUAAAGUGACCUUUAGUACCUCCUUCCUCCCACCCCCACCUGGCCUCUCAUAUUGUCUCUGCUUUUCUCCACCAGCAGACGUGGGGAUCACAUAUCAAAGAGAAAGAAUAGUUCAAGAGGAAAUCUGUACUGUCCUUAUUUUAUAAAUUGGGUUUAAUAAUUCAUCUAAAAGAGAAUUUUUAGCAACAAGGUUUGCAUAUAAAAAGGGAACAUGCCUUCCCUAAAUAGGUAUCUGUUACUCUUGCUGCAAUGCUGAGUGGGGAGAAAAAAGGCCAGUCAGGUCCAAGUGCCUCUUUCAGAUUCUCUAAGGACAUCGUGGUCUCCGGCCCGUUAGGCAAAAGUGAUUUGAGAGCAAGCUUUGCAAGGAAAGGAAUUUAAACCACACCCUAAAAGCCUCCUCUUUGUCGCUGCAGAAAUCCACCUAGAGGUCAUUGCAACAAACACGUAUAUUCCAAAAAACGUCUGCAGACUGCAGGCCUGUUCAUUUCCUGGUCCUAAAACGCCACCUGCCCAGACCCCCACUAUUGUCUCAAAUACCAAACCCACGGCGUCUUGUAAGUCAGACGGUGUCGGACUUGAGGGUCUGCAGGUCUCCACGCGCUCACACAAAGCUGUUCCGAAUGUCAAGAAAAUCAGUCAUUCACACAGCUGUGCUGCUCAUGCGUGACAAGCUGACUUAAAAUAUUUGUCACUCCAACUUGCUGAUGGGGAGGAGGGGGAGUUGGUAGAAUGAAAGGGGAGGAAAACGAACAGAAACCUCUAAUUGCCCAGGUUGCUGCCUUGAAUAUUUCUGCAAGUAGCUCUGAGGCAGGUGGUGGCACGGUCCAUGUUUUCAGACCUGACAAUGGGUAAGUUGCCAGGGAGCCAAGGCCCCGCAAAAGAAGUAAUUAAUACCUCCUUUUUCAGUUUAUAGACAGCAUCUGUCUCCUCACCUUAGAAGAAAAUUGUUGGAGAAUUAACUUUCCUAAUUUCUUUCUCUAAAAGUCCCUAUUUAACCAUAUCCUCUGCAGAGUCCCAUUCAGUCAGGGGAGCAUCCGAAUAAACCAAAUUUUCCAAAUGUUUAAAAAAUUUGCAACAAUAUAGUCUUUCUCUUGAAGCCCCGCACAUUCCAACAUUACAUAGGUAUUUUUUCUUUAAGUGUGUCAUUACAGAGUCUCUUGAACAAUGACCCAGAAUGAGGCGGGGGGGGGAGAGGGGGGGGGGGGGGGGGGGGGGGGGGAAUGGACACAUUCAUUCUACCUAGAGGUGUGUGGACUGAGUCUACCUUUCUGGAAGGUAUGUGACCCCUUUGAAACCGUGAUAUUCUUUGACCUGGCAACUCCAUUGCUAGCCAUGUGUCCUAAGGGAAUAGUCAAGGUGUGUCAAAGAUUACUGCAUUCUGAUGUUCACUAUUUAUAAUAGCAAAACUAAGUGUUAAAAAAACAAGGCUAGCAAUUAAAUUAUGGCAAAAUCGUAUAACGAAAUAGUCAUUAAAAAGCGGUGUAGGAGAAUAUCUGGCAGGGAAAUGUUCAUUGACGUAUUGUUAAAUUUAAAAGAGUGUAAGGCAGAAUGUGCAUUAUACUGUUUUAAAUUUUUUAAUAUAGCCAUUUUAAUUUAUUAUAAUACAUAUGCAUAGAAAAAUGACUGGAAGGAUUUUUCAACAAUCUAUGGUAUAGGGGGCGCUGAGAUUUUGUGCUCUCCUACAUUUUCCUAAUAGGAAUCAAGAAUCAAACGUGUUCAACUAUAUGUAAUGUUACAGCUAGAAUAAAAGAUGCUACCGGUAGGUUUAAAAUGACGGUGACCUUUAUUAGAUAAGGCGUUGAGAGAUCCCACUUUGCCAAGCCCCAGUCAGCUACUCUGAUGCCUUCUGCGCCUUCGCGAGCGGCCUCUGGGUUUCGGAUGAACCGAAAUGGUGUUUGACCUGGAGGGACGUGAAACGGGCCCAUGACUCUACGACUCUCCAACAGGAGACCAAGGGCUCCGGCCUUUAAGAAAGAAGGAGCGGCCGGCAAGAUGGAGAUUCCGAAGCCACGCUGAGCUCAACAGCUCUGCGGCUCAACCUCUCAGUGCCUCGCUUCCCCCUCCGGAACCCGAGAGGGACACCGGCACCUCCUUUCCCGGGUGGUCACUGAGGAUAACCUGGGUGAAGCCGAGGGAAGGGUGAGAGCGGUGCCCGGGCACAGAGUAAGCGCUCCGCGAACGUCGGCGGAAAACCCCGCCUCGGGCCCGGCCGAAGCGCCCGGAACCCCCCGCGCGCCUCGCGGGCCACGGCGCCCAGACCCCGGCGACGGCUACCGCGCUCGCACGCAAACGUCCGCCGGGGGCCCCGUUUCCAGCGGAAACAAUGCGCGCGCGCACGCACGCGCCCGGCCGCGAGCGCGCGCCCCCGCCCCCGCCCGCCCCGCGAGCGCGCGCCCCCGCCCCCGCCCCCGCCCCGCGCGCGUGCGCGCAGCCGCGGCGCGUCCGGCCCCCGCCACCGGCCCCGCGGACCUGCGCCGGCUUCUAAGUAUUUCUUGCUGUCACCAGACCCUCGGCAGCCGGCGGAAUGCAAAGGAAAAGUAAAUGAACUGUAAAGAAAUAACAGACCUUUCCGCAUUCUGCCGCCUCAAACCGCCUCUCGAUCCCCGAGCGUUCUCUCGGGGUCACCGCCGGGCCCGGUAAAAGCCGGGAAAGAAGGCGGGAUAAGAGCGUGGUGGGCAGCGAGCCGGAUGGGUAGCGACGGGGGAAGGGGAGACGAGAGCGCCCCGCGGCAAGUGCCCCCCCCCAGCCCCGCCGUCCUGCCCCCCCCCCCCCCCCCCCCGCCCCGACCCCCACCCCCGCAGCAGACGCAGCCCAGGGGCCCGAUCCCUCCCACGUGAUUCAAGAGGGCCUUUUUCAAAGAAAACGGAAGCCACCUUUGGGAAGACGUCAGUGGCAAACGGAUAAUCAUUUUGUUUUUAUGACGGGACCGGCAGGCACAGAAAUCUCAAAUUUUUCAUGUGGGCUCAAGAGCUCUUCAAAGUAGAGAGGAAACUAAUCUCUGAAGUUUUCUCUCAUAUAUCCUAUGGAAUGCGUAUUAAAAUCCUGAAUGCUAAAACUCCAUUGGAAUUUAGUUACAGGUGAAUUUGACCAAUUGGACACACUGUGAAGAACCUAAAGUAGGGGCGUCUGGGAGGCUCUGUAGGUGACUUGGGACUCCUGAUUUUGACUCAGGUCAUGAUCUCACCAUUCACGAGCUGGUGAGGGUGUUGAGCCUGCUUGGGAUUCUCUCUCUGUCCCUGUCUCUCUGCCCCUUCCCUGCUUGUGCGCGUGCUGUAAAUACAUAAACAAACAAACUUAAAAAAAAAAAGAUAAUGGGGCGCCUGGGUGGCGCAGUCGGUUAAGCGUCCGACUUCAGCCAGGUCACGAUCUCGCGGUCCGUGAGUUCGAGCCCCGCGUCGGGCUCUGGGCUGAUGGCUCAGAGCCUGGAGCCUGUUUCCGAUUCUGUGUCUCCCUCUCUCUCUGCCCCUCCCCCGUUCAUGCUCUGUCUCUCUCUGUCCCAAAAAUAAAUAAAAAACGUUGAAAAAAAAAAUUAAAAAAAAAAAAGAUAAGAGUAAAAUCACCACGUAAUAGUGUUAAAAGCCCACCAUCUUUUGGCUGUUGGUCCUGUGUUUGAAAUCCAUUAUUUUUUACCCCUUUUCUUCUCGGUUUUGUUAUCUGUACAUUAUUGUCUUAGGGAUAGUGCGGUCUCCUUUUGGAGCCAAUUUGACCCCACUCUCCUUUUGGCAAAACUUUUAUUUGCAUUUCCCUUGUGCACCCAACAAGUCUGUGUAUUAACAACAUGCUUCAUUUUUGGCACAACAGCCUCAUUAAUUAUGUCAGCAGAGAGCUGGCAUCAGGACUCUUGGUAAUUCCUGUCUCCUCUCUGCUGGCAUUGUUGCUUCUGAACUACCAACCUACCAUCAGCGGGCUUCAUUCUCCCUUUGCAGUCCCACCCCGCUCCCCACUCCUUUGCUCCAGCCCACCCACCUCCCAGUUCUACAAAGAACGGAACAUGAGGGCUAGGAGAACGAACUCUACUCGUUUUAGUAUUCUUUGGCUUAAAAGAGAUUUUCUGGGCCUAUAUCUCAGGUCCUUCUGGACUCAUUGACAAGUUUUUGAUGAUGAUGAUGAUUUUAACAGCGGUUACCAUUCAUUGAGUGCUUUCUAUGUAUCCAGUGCUUUAAAGAAAAAAAAAAAAGGUAGAUUAUGUCAUUUAAUUCCUAAAACAAACGCUAGAGGCAGCUCUCAUUAUUAAUACCAUUUAACAGAGGAGAAAACUGAGGCUCAGUGAGUUAAGGUCACAGGGCCAGGACCGGCGGGGCCAGGGUUGGACUUUGACAUAUCUGCUUUUGCUGUGCCAUGAAGCAGUCCCCUCUCUCACAACACACAACCACGUUGGCAAAAGGCUAGGGGCUCAAAGGUGUGAAAUUUGGAAGAUCACUUCAAAAGUUAAAUGGCAGGUAAUGGGGCCUAAAAAAAAGGUCAGGAAAGCCGCCUCUGAGAGUGUUGACGUGGCUAAUGCAACCCAGGACAUACCAUUGUCAAAAACACAAAACACAAAACUCUGGUUAUGUUUUAUUUUUAGUUUCUGAAGUUCCCACAGAAGUCUGAGAUGGUGGCCAGUAAUUUCUCCUUGAAGCCUAACACACCUUACCCAGUGACUAGGCAAGUAGGGCAGGGGUGGUUGUUUUCACAAGUGUUACUCCUAAUUGUAGUAUUAUACCAUCAUUCAGGCCAUCAUGUGCCCUUUCCAACUGUAUCCGGCAUCUUGGUGGAUGUCCCAGGUAAAGCUCAUCAAGGAAUUGCUAGUUCGUUCCCGGAGAGGAACUGCAGUGGCCGCCUUAUUAAAACUCUGCGGUCGUGAGGAGUUCCUUGAAUAUGAGGGCUCAGCCGUUACUCAAAAACGUUUAUAAAGGAUCGACUUUAUACUAGGCACUGAGCCGAGGCACUGCAGACAAAUACAUGUGGCCUCCAUUCUAAUUUUACUUAAAAUUUUACUUAAAUCAGAACCGCUGACCAAUGGGGUGGGUGGUAAGGUUGAGGGACAGUUCAUAUCGUGUUAGAAAAAGACGACGGCAGGAAGGAAUCCAAUGCAUUCCCAAGAGAGAAGACCCUAAUGAUUGGCUUUGUCAUCAGUUACCAAAGACAAAGAGGCCGUCUCAAGAAUAGAUAGGACGGAUGCCUUGUCCCUACCACAGGGUGAGGCAAAGGGCUUCUCAUAAACUACAUUAUUUUUUAAAGUUACCAAAACUUGAUAUGCUUGGUAUGAAAAAUUCAGACUCUGUAGAAAUAUAAUAACUUGGCAUUGACCUCUGCCCUACAAUCUCUCUCUCUAGAGAUAACUGUUGUGAACAGUUUAGUGUUGAAUCAAAGGACCUAGUGCUUCUUUCUUGAACAUGACAGAAAGAAAAAAAUUCCAAAGAACAUGGCCCAAAGGAAAACAGACCACAAAAUUUAAGGAGUCUCAGCUUGCUGGGUUAUGAGAUCCUUCUUUGGGGCGGCCCACUUACGCCUUGGCCUUGACUUCUGCUAUCUGCGUUGGAAGAAAAGCCUAAGACAGGUAACGUUUGCUUGUCACAUGGAAUCUAGGACUCAGUGGCAGUCGCCAGGCAAGUGACCGUUCCAUCCGCUGGAUAAGGCGUUAACAGGCUCUACUUAGGCGCCACACGUGUCCGUCCGGUUGCUGUCACAGUUAAGCCUCAGCCAACACGAACGUCUUUAGGUUAAAUUAACUUACCACAUCAUUAGUAUGUAGAGCCUUGGGGAACAGAACAGGCAUGUGUUAAGGAGGAGAAAUGGGUUGGUGAAUCAGUGCCUGGGCUGGGACAUUGCAAUAGGGGCUCUGGGCAGCUGACGCUCCAGAGGGAAUUUGAAAGGGAAAGACGGGGCCAUGGCCCGAAGGGUGGGCUACGUUCAGGGCAUAUACUUUACACACUUCAUGAUUUUUGUCUUGGGCAGACAGUAAUCGUUAUAGUAUAAAGUUAGACUUGGGCUGAUUUUGAUUAAUUUCUAGCAGCACAGACUUGUCCAAGGGCUCUACCUCUUUACAUCCUGCUCCAGAACCUUGGCCUUGGAGGAAUUUAAACAGGCCUUGCAGGCUGAGUAGGGAGUAGCCACACUGCCGUCAGGCCCCCUAAUAUCCAUCGUCCCGCGUGUGGCCCGUCUGAGAAGACUGCUUGGCCCGGCCUCCCUCGUCCAAUGUGGCCAUGUGACUAGAUUCUGCUCCGGGGUGAUGAGUGGGAGUGGUGUGGGCAGUUUCUCCGUCGUGUCUUCUGUUCUAGGCCGGCUUCCCCGGAAGUAGAUGCUGACAACAAGAGUCCAGCACAAGCUGUUUACUCGAGAAGGUGAUUCUAGGAAGCAUAAGGAGGGGAGUAGGGGAAGUGUGUCGGUCUGGAUUUUCUAAGUAGGUGCCAAGUGGAAUUACACGUACGAGGAUUUUAUUAAGGGAAACCGUAUGGGAGGGACAGUGGGGUUAGAUGAGGCCAGAAGGGCUGGCGGACCAGCCGGCAAAGGUGAGUCUGGCCCGACGCGAAGAAGAGGAGGAAGGCCUCACGCUGCCUGCCAGGCUGAGGAGAGGUAGCAAAGCCGGCAUCAGGGGGCCCCAGUUCCCCUGGGAACGACCUGCGUGGGGGCCUUGUGACACUCAGUCAGCGACUGGAGCAGUCCGCGGGAAGAAGGCCUUGCACGGGCACGGCCGGGGGCUUCGUGGCACGGCGGCCAGCCUUGGUGACUGUGCCCUUCGGGUUGGAGGCCAGUCCUUGGUGCAUCCUCCCGCCACUGCGGGAAGUGAGGCGGGGAGGGAAGGGACGUUAGGAGCGCACCACCUGCUGGCAUCCUCUGGGGACCGGGUCAGCCCCCACCCGUUGAAACUGCUGACGGGUUUGUCUUCGCUGCAGGAGCCGCGCGAGAGACACCUCGAGAAAGUGGUUUUGAGGAAGCGUUUCCACUCGCUCCUGCGUGGAAUCUUCCCACCAGAGUUGCCAACAAACUGAACGUACGACUGACUGGGGUGAUGCAUCCUCUUUCUUCGUGCUCCUCACCUCCCGCCCCCCUCACUUCUGCUGGAGAAUUGGAAAAGCGUGAAAUGCCCCCCAGAGUGAAGAACACAGCACAGGGGACUCUGGGUAAUCCACCCCUGCCCGCUGUAAGGACACGCUACCCAGUCCCGGAUCAUAGCCUUUUCUCUUCUUUACAACUCCGCGAGGAAACUUACGGUCGGGAGGAAAACGACAAAAACAAAAAAACAAACUAGGAAGAAAUACACCAUAGCAAUUACUGGCUGGAAGGUGGUGGAAUUACGGAUAUUUUUCUUUUAUUCCAUAAUUGAAUGCGGUUCUAACUCUUUUACUUAAAUGUUUGUAGUAAGACUAUUUUUCUACUUUUCUGUAUGCUUAAAUACUUCCAUAAUAAAAAUUAUAUUUUA